rnacentral:tRNA from 1 species
AUUUGAAUAGCUUAAUUCUUAAAGCUCCACUUUGAAGCUGUGGUUAUGAUAUAUUUUAUCUUCAAGUA